CAAAAACCUCUCAGCAUUUAAUUUAUGUUGGUACUGGGCGUGAGGCAUGGGCUUAUGGCCCGCCUCCGCUUUAAACUUGCUGAACGACCGUAAGCUAUUGCUAGGUUUUAUGAAGUUGGUGUUUACAUUUUUUCAUAAUCUAGUGUUGGGGAGCGGCGUUAAACCUGAUGUCCAUUCGUGGACUGAA
rnacentral:misc_RNA from 1 species